AUUGAACGCUGGCGGCAGGCCUAACACAUGCAAGUCGAACGGUAGCACAGAGGAGCUUGCUCCUUGGGUGACGAGUGGCGGACGGGUGAGUAAUGUCUGGGGAUCUGCCCGAUGGAGGGGGAUAACUACUGGAAACGGUAGCUAAUACCGCAUAACGUCGCAAGACCAAAGUGGGGGACCUUCGGGCCUCACACCAUCGGAUGAACCAAGAUGGGAUUAGCUAGUAGGUGGGGUAACGGCUCACCUAGGCGACGAUCCCUAGCUGGUCUGAGAGGAUGACCAGCCACACUGGAACUGAGACACGGUCCAGACUCCUACGGGAGGGAGCAGUGGGGAAUAUUGCACAAUGGGCGCAAGCCUGAUGCAGCCAUGCCGCGUGUAUGAAGAAGGCCUUCGGGUUGUAAAGUACUUUCAGCGGGGAGGAAGGCGAUAAGGUUAAUAACCUUAUCGAUUGACGUUACCCGCAGAAGAAGCACCGGCUAACUCCGUGCCAGCAGCCGCAGUAAUAC
rnacentral:rRNA from 1 species